CCCCCCCCACAAUGCGAAGGGAAAUAAUAAUAAAAAAUACAAAACAGAGGAACAAAAAAAAGAAAAAGAAAAGCAGAACCCUUUAAAAUGGGAGCUAUUAUUAAUCUUAUCUGGAGGGUGCUUGUUUUAAUUCCUUUACCUCUGUAUUGGAUUACUGCAUACUGCACUUCAAGUUUGUUUGCUGCAAUAGUUUUUUUUUGGGUUGACACACCUGUGUAUGACAAUAUUCUUCAUAUCUUGUUGCUGAUUGUUGUGAUGUUGCAUGUAUCUGAAUCCAUGUGUUUUAUGAAGAGUUACAUAUUUGUCUCUCUUUCUCAGGAAGUUGAGAAGCAUCUUUCAGAGAUGGUUGUCUCUAAAGCGCUGGUAGCAAAGAUUGAUCGGCCAAUGGGUAUAGUCUGUUUCCAGGCAGCAAAGGACAGCAAUGACAUUUUGAAUUCAUGGGCUAUGAACUUGGAGAAGUUGCUUGACCUCAUGGAGAAGAGUUGCCACCAAAUCCACAAGGAAACUAUGGUUCACAAAGCUGCCUUGAAAGUUUGAAAAUGCUGAUGGCACUAAUUGCAAGGUGUGCUCUGCUGUGUUUUGAGGACCUAUUGACAGAAACCAAAAUGGGUUGGUGUUGUUGCAGCGGGAAGAGAUUAUUAUGUGCUUUUAUCUGUUUCCUCCAUCCUUCGGCUUUAUUAAAAGAUUGAUUAAAGAUUCCACAUGGUUUCUGCCUUUAAGUCUUUUGUGCUUUUUAUUAGUGUUUUUUCUCAGUUGAUUUACUCAUUGGGAUGAUAGAUUGGUAGUUGUGAUAUGAAAAUUAGCAGGCCUAUGGUAUUUGUUGUCUACAGUAAAAUGAUUUGUGAAUCAGAUGUGGAUUAUGUUUCACUUCUAUAGUUCACAAAGUGGAUAUUUCUUUUUUGUAUACGGAGGACAUCAUUUUUGUAUGAUUAUCUAUUUGUAUGGAAUUAUUAUUUUGGGUUGGAUUAUAUUUGGUUUGUAUAGAA